UACGGAGGAUCCAAGCGUUAUCCGGAUUCAUUGGGUUUAAAGGGUGCGUAGGCGGAAUGAUAAGUCAGUGGUGAAAUCUCGGAGCUUAACUCCGAAACUGCCAUUGAUACUGUCAAUCUUGAGUACAUUUGAUGUGGGCGGAAUGUGUCAUGUAGCGGUGAAAUGCUUAGAUAUGACACAGAACACCGAUUGCGAAGGCAGCUCACAAAACUGUAACUGACGCUGAAGGCACGAAAGCGUGGGUAUCAAACAGGA
rnacentral:rRNA from 1 species